GACGAACGCUGGCGGCGUGCUUAACACAUGCAAGUCGAACGAUGAAGCCUAGCUUGCUAGGUGGAUUAGUGGCGAACGGGUGAGUAAUACGUGAGUAACCUACCUUUAACUCUGGGAUAAGCCUGGGAAACUGGGUCUAAUACCGGAUACGACCAAUCUCCGCAUGGGGUGUUGGUGGAAAGCGUUAUGUAGUGGUUAUAGAUGGGCUCACGGCCUAUCAGCUUGUUGGUGAGGUAACGGCUCACCAAGGCGACGACGGGUAGCCGGCCUGAGAGGGUGACCGGCCACACUGGGACUGAGACACGGCCCAGACUCCUACGGGAGGCAGCAGUGGGGAAUAUUGCACAAUGGGCGCAAGCCUGAUGCAGCGACGCCGCGUGAGGGAUGACGGCCUUCGGGUUGUAAACCUCUGUUAGCAGGGAAGAAGAGAGAUUGACGGUACCUGCAGAGAAAGCGCCGGCUAACUACGUGCCAGCAGCCGCGGUAAUACGUAGGGCGCGAGCGUUGUCCGGAAUUAUUGGGCGUAAAGAGCUUGUAGGCGGUUUGUCGCGUCUGCUGUGAAAGGCCGGAGCUUAACUCCGUGUAUUGCAGUGGGUACGGGCAGACUAGAGUGCAGUAGGGGAGACUGGAAUUCCUGGUGUAGCGGUGGAAUGCGCAGAUAUCAGGAGGAACACCGAUGGCGAAGGCAGGUCUCUGGGCUGUAACUGACGCUGAGAAGCGAAAGCAUGGGGAGCGAACAGGAUUAGAUACCCUGGUAGUCCAUGCCGUAAACGUUGGGCACUAGGUGUGGGAACAUUCCACGUUUUCCGCGCCGUAGCUAACGCAUUAAGUGCCCCGCCUGGGGAGUACGGCCGCAAGGCUAAAACUCAAAGAAAUUGACGGGGGCCCGCACAAGCGGCGGAGCAUGCGGAUUAAUUCGAUGCAACGCGAAGAACCUUACCAAGGCUUGACAUAUACUGGAUCGCAUCAGAGAUGGUGUUUCCCUUCGGGGCUGGUAUACAGGUGGUGCAUGGUUGUCGUCAGCUCGUGUCGUGAGAUGUUGGGUUAAGUCCCGCAACGAGCGCAACCCUCGUUCUAUGUUGCCAGCACGUUAUGGUGGGGACUCAUAGGAGACUGCCGGGGUCAACUCGGAGGAAGGUGGGGAUGACGUCAAAUCAUCAUGCCCCUUAUGUCUUGGGCUUCACGCAUGCUACAAUGGCCGGUACAGAGGGUUGCGAUACUGUGAGGUGGAGCUAAUCCCUAAAAGCCGGUCUCAGUUCGGAUUGGGGUCUGCAACUCGACCCCAUGAAGUCGGAGUCGCUAGUAAUCGCAGAUCAGCAACGCUGCGGUGAAUAUGUUCCCGGGCCU
rnacentral:rRNA from 1 species